GCUCGGUGAGAAGAUAGCUCAGUCGGUAGAGCGUGGGAUUCUGCAUCUCGGGGUCGUGGGUUCGAGCCCCACGUUGGGCA